UAUAUGGUCUAUUAGCUCAGUCGGUAGAGCACCUGACUUUUAAUCAGGGUGUCCCGCGUUCGAGUCGCGGAUAGAUCACCAANGGGUUCGAAUCCCUGUGCGCUCACCACAUAUAUUGGGGAUUAGCCAAGUCGGUAAGGCACAUGACUUUGACUCAUGUAUGCGUAGGUUCGAGUCCUGCAUCCCCAGCCAAAUGAUGUACUUACUAAGCUAUAUUUGAAUUAUUUUUAUUUUAAAUAUAGUUAGGUUCAAUUUUAGAAUAAGUUUAAGUAUCCGAAUGUGGAGAGGUGUCCGAGUGGUUUAAGGAGCUGGUCUUGAAAACCAGUGACUUCGAAAGGGGCCGUGGGUUCGAAUCCCACCCUCUCCGCCAAAUGCCCAGAUAGCUCAGUCGGUAGAGCAGGGGACUGAAAAUCCCCGUGUCGGUGGUUCGAUUCCGCCUCUGGGCACCAAAAUAUGGCGGUAUAGCUUAGUUGGCUAGAGCGUUCGGUUCAUACCCGAAAGGUCAUAGGUUCGACUCCUAUUACCGCUACUAAAAUUUAAUGUGGGCCAUUAGCUCAGUUGGUUAGAGCGCCCGGCUCAUAACCGGUAGGUCUGGGGUUCGAGUCCCUGAUGGCCCACCACAUUAAAUUAAUUAAUAUAAAUAUAAAUUCGAGGUGUAGCGCAGUUUGGUAGCGCACAUGGUUUGGGACCAUGGGGCCGGGGGUUCGAGUCCCUUCACCUCGACCAAUAUAAGGUGGGUAUAGCUCAGUUGGUUAGAGCGCCAGAUUGUGGCUCUGGAGGUCGUGAGUUCGACUCUCAUUAUCCACCCCAAAUUAUAUGGUCUAUUAGCUCAGUCGGUAGAGCACCUGACUUUUAAUCAGGGUGUCCCGCGUUCGAGUCGCGGAUAGAUCACCAAAAAGGCGGCGACAUAGCCAAGUGGUAAGGCAGUGGACUGCAACUCCUUGAUCCCCAGUUCGAAUCUGGGUGUCGCCUCCAAAAUAUUCCAAGGUAGCUCAACGGUGGAGCAACCGGCUGUUAACCGGUAGGNAUAUAUUGGGGAUUAGCCAAGUCGGUAAGGCACAUGACUUUGACUCAUGUAUGCGUAGGUUCGAGUCCUGCAUCCCCAGCCAAAUGAUGUACUUACUAAGCUAUAUUUGAAUUAUUUUUAUUUUAAAUAUAGUUAGGUUCAAUUUUAGAAUAAGUUUAAGUAUCCGAAUGUGGAGAGGUGUCCGAGUGGUUUAAGGAGCUGGUCUUGAAAACCAGUGACUUCGAAAGGGGCCGUGGGUUCGAAUCCCACCCUCUCCGCCAAAUGCCCAGAUAGCUCAGUCGGUAGAGCAGGGGACUGAAAAUCCCCGUGUCGGUGGUUCGAUUCCGCCUCUGGGCACCAAAAUAUGGCGGUAUAGCUUAGUUGGCUAGAGCGUUCGGUUCAUACCCGAAAGGUCAUAGGUUCGACUCCUAUUACCGCUACUAAAAUUUAAUGUGGGCCAUUAGCUCAGUUGGUUAGAGCGCCCGGCUCAUAACCGGUAGGUCUGGGGUUCGAGUCCCUGAUGGCCCACCACAUUAAAUUAAUUAAUAUAAAUAUAAAUUCGAGGUGUAGCGCAGUUUGGUAGCGCACAUGGUUUGGGACCAUGGGGCCGGGGGUUCGAGUCCCUUCACCUCGACCAAUAUAAGGUGGGUAUAGCUCAGUUGGUUAGAGCGCCAGAUUGUGGCUCUGGAGGUCGUGAGUUCGACUCUCAUUAUCCACCCCAAAUUAUAUGGUCUAUUAGCUCAGUCGGUAGAGCACCUGACUUUUAAUCAGGGUGUCCCGCGUUCGAGUCGCGGAUAGAUCACCAAAAAGGUGGCGACAUAGCCAAGUGGUAAGGCAGUGGACUGCAACUCCUUGAUCCCCAGUUCGAAUCUGGGUGUCGCCUCCAAAAUAUUCCAAGGUAGCUCAACGGUGGAGCAACCGGCUGUUAACCGGUAGGCUGUGGGUUCGAGCCCCACCCUUGGAGCCAAAAAAAGCCGAAGUGGCGGAACNAGGAUAGGUGGGAGGCUUUGAAACCAGGACGCCAGUUUUGGCGGAGCCAUCCUUGGGAUACCACCCUUGUAGUACUGGGACUCUAACCAUAGGCCAUGAAUCUGGUCUUGGGACACUGUCAGGUGGGCAGUUUGACUGGGGCGGUCGCCUCCCAAAAGGUAACGGAGGCGCUCAAAGGUUCUCUCAGUACGGUCGGAAAUCGUACGUAGAGUGUAAAGGCAAAAGAGAGCUUGAUUGCAAGACAUACAGGUCGAGCAAGGAUGAAAAUCGGACUUAGUGAUCCGGUGGUUCUGCGUGGAAGGGCCAUCGCUCAACGGAUAAAAGCUACCCUGGGGAUAACAGGCUUAUCUCCCCCAAGAGUCCACAUCGACGGGGAGGUUUGGCACCUCGAUGUCGGCUCAUCACAUCCUGGGGCUGUAGUAGGUCCCAAGGGUUGGGCUGUUCGCCCAUUAAAGUGGUACGCGAGCUGGGUUCAGAACGUCGUGAGACAGUUCGGUCCCUAUCCGUCGCAGGCGUAGGAAAUUUGAGAAGACCUGUCCUUAGUACGAGAGGACCGGGAUGGACGUACCUCUGGUGUACCAGUUGUCCUGCCAAGGGCAUGGCUGGGUAGCUAUGUACGGAAUGGAUAAGCGCUGAAAGCAUCUAAGCGCGAAGCCAACUUCAAGAUAAGAUUUCCCACCGCAAGGGUAAGACCCCAGAAAGACUAUCUGGUUGAUAGGUCGAAGGUGUAAGUGCAGCAAUGUAUUUAGCUUAUCGAUACUAAUAGGUCGAGGACUUGACC
rnacentral:rRNA from 1 species